rnacentral:lncRNA from 1 species
UUAGAUAAUAGGAAUUUUUUUUCUUAGAAACAGCCGCCGCCGGGCGCUAGAUAGCCACUGGGCCGCAAUCCCGUGUAACCCGGGAUUGAAAUCCCUUAAAGCCGGCCACCCGAGCCCUCCUUUCCCUCCUCCCUCUCCCUGACCUGCGGGCCCCCCUGGCCGAGACAACCCCCCACGUCGGUCAUCACCUUCCUUUCUUCUUCUACCGAAACCA